GACGAACGCUGGCGGCGUGCCUAAUACAUGCAAGUCGAGCGGAAGUUGGAGAGCUUGCUCUUCAACUUUAGCGGCGGACGGGUGAGUAACACGUGGGCAACCUGCCCUGCAGAUCGGGAUAACUCCGGGAAACCGGUGCUAAUACCGAAUAGUUUUCGCCACCUCCUGGUGGCGUACGGAAAGACGGUUUCGGCUGUCACUGCAGGAUGGGCCCGCGGCGCAUUAGCUAGUUGGGGGGGAAACGGCCCACCAAGGCAACGAUGCGUAGCCGACCUGAGAGGGGGAUCGGCAACACUGGGACUGAGACAAGGCGCAGACUCCUGCGGGAGGCAGCAGUAGGGAAUCUUCCGCAAUGGACGAAAGUCUGACGGAGCAACGCCGCGUGAGUGACGAAGGUUUUCGGAUCGUAAAACGCUGUUGUGAGGGAAGAACAAGUACCAACUAACUACUGGUACCUUGACGGUACCUCACCAGAAAGCCACGGCUAACUACGUGCCAGCCGCCGCGGUAAAAC
rnacentral:rRNA from 1 species